CACCGAACAGGCUCAAAUGACUCUAAUUCAUCAUGUUAUGAAUCAUGAUCUCUCUCUCGGCCUUAUGUGAGCAGAUCUACAAUGAUUUCAAUCUCAAAAACAAAAAUGGGUCUGGAUGCCAUAAUCAAAAACAAUAUUGCUGCUGUUCCCCUGGGGAGUAUGCCAUUCCAUUCCCGUUGUGUGUGGAUGGUACGGAGGCCAAAAGUCCUGGAAAAACAGAAGAAUUAACUUUACUACUAAGAUCCCAGUGACAGAAAAAGCCACAUACCUAGGUGCUCCACCUUACCAGAGUCCGAACAGAGGGGUUGCUGAUGGCACGGCUUGCAGACAGGCGGUUGCAGUAUAAACCAACAGGUCCUGCCUGUGCUGAGACACUAUGGACAUUCCUACUACAAAACGCAUUAGAAAGGCAGUGACCAGGCCCUCCCAAACCCCCAGAUCCAAUCAAACUCCCCCCCAGCUUCAACAGUUGGAACUCAGGGCAGAGUGAGAGGUUCAGGUUCACUCCCUAUCCCUCGCACUGCCACUGAUCGCUUUUGAGACGACAGUGAUCCAAAGCCAAGGCAGAGAAACCUGCUAGCUGCCAAAGGAGAAACACAGUUUCUGUUCCCUUCUGCUGGAUGGCCCCCUCGUUUUGCCAAAAUGAUCAGAGACGCAGGUAUGCACAAGCAUUGGGAAAUCAUGGAAGACCCAUUACAUGUACAAAAUCAAAUUGGAGAAAUUGAAAAGAACAACCUAGGGAUCUCUAAACAACUUCAUUGGGGCAGUGAUGCUGAAGGCCAGGAGCAAGCGAAACGAAGCAUUGUUGUUCUCUUGUACAAGCAGGGCUGUGUUCAACACCUAGAGGACCACUAAACAUUUCAAAAAAAGUCUGAUAAGGAAGAGUUGUCUAGAGCUAGAUUGAAGUCACUGUCUCUAGCUUUUGGCCCUACCUCCCGUCAUGCUCUCUGGGAAAUGCAGUGUGGCUUUCUAUGCAUUGAACAGAGACCAGGCUUCAUACCAAGUGGUUAAAAUCCCUUUCGAUGAAACAAGAUGCUACUGAGCUAAAGAACAGGUUACUGCAUUUCCCACUGAAAAAGCAGAAAGCUUCAACCACAUUCACAGCUAACAGGUUUCCAAAUGCUUUGGCUAAGAAUGGCUUUCGUCUUAAAAGCAAUCAACCACAAUUCACAAAGGGGAAAGGGAAAGCUGAACUUUUCACCCAAUCCAUGAGACGAUCGCACAGUAAAACAAAACAUUCAAGCUUUUGAUCAACAUGCUUAUGAAGUUAAAUAUAAUGAUCACACAAAUAUUUAAAAGGCAAACAUGGCCAUGAGGUCUUAUAACUACAUGAUUCAACUUUCUUAAAAAAUGUUGUACUGUACCAUAUUCUUGAACUGCAAGGAAAAGUGAGAAUAAAAUCAGAAUACCUGGACAGGCUAUAGGGUUCAAUCUGUUCCUUUCUUUCCUGACUAAUUUAUGUUGUUACCUAACCCACAAUUCUUGGCCUCAUUUGUUACUUUAAUCUCAGACAGAAUACCAAGACAAAUGCUGUCUAUAGUAGGAAAAAAGGUGAGUAUACCCCCUCCCCCAAAAAAAAAUCCUCAUAUCACUGAAUUAAUUACCCUCCCAAAUUACCCAAUAAUCCUAUGUGGCCAUCAAGUUACUUUGGAAAAAAAUGUCUUAGUUCUCUUAUUUUACUUAAUUGUUCUUCUUUAAGGUUAAUAUUUAAUGCAAUUCACUAGCUUUGAAGUGACCUUUCAGUGAAAGGUUUUUUUCCAAGCAGC